rnacentral:rRNA from 1 species
GUGAGGAAUAUUGGUCAAUGGGCGGGAGCCUGAACCAGCCAAGUCGCGUGAAGGAAGAAGGAUCUAUGGUUCGUAAACUUCUUUUGCAGGGGAAUAAAGUGCAGGACGUGUCCUGUUUUGUAUGUACCCUGAGAAUAAGGAUCGGCUAACUCCGUGCCAGCAGCCGCGGUAAUACGGAGGAUCCGAGCGUUAUCCGGAUUUAUUGGGUUUAAAGGGUGCGCAGGUGGUUUGAUAAGUCAGCGGUGAAAGUUUGCAGCUUAACUGUAAAAAUGCCGUUGAAACUGUCGGACUUGAGUGUAAAUGAGGUAGGCGGAAUGCGUGGUGUAGCGGUGAAAUGCAUAGAUAUCACGCAGAACUCCGAUUGCGAAGGCAGCUUACUAAGCUACAACUGACACUGAAGCACGAAAGCGUGGGGAUCAAACAGGAUUAAAUACCCUGGUAGUCC